rnacentral:rRNA from 1 species
GAGUGGGCUCUUCGGAGCUUAAGGUACGUGCUAAUCCCAUGGGUAACCAUGUCUCUAUGAAUAGGCCCGACAAGCCGAAGCGUAGGGAGGCAGACAGCCUGGAGCUGCCUGCUGGACCUCACUGUCGCGGUUCGCCGCGGCGUGGGAAAUGCUGUGAUGCCCUUAGAUGUUCUGGGCCGCACGCGCGCUACACUGACGGAGCCAGCGAGUACUCCCUUGGCCGAAAGGCCUGGGUAAUCUUGUGAAACUC